rnacentral:rRNA from 1 species
CCUACGGGGGGCAGCAGUGAGGCAUAUUGGUCAAUGGCCGCAGGGCUGAACCAGCCAAGUAGCGUGAAGGAUGCCUGCCCUCUGGGUUGUAAACUUCUUUUAUAUGGGAAUAAAAUGUUCCACGUGUGGGAUUUUGUAUGUACCAUAUGACUAAGGAUCGGCUAACUCCGUGCAAGCAGCGGCGGUAAUACGGAGGAUCCGAGCGUUAUCCGGAUUUAUUGGGUUUAAAGGGAGCGUAGCUGGAUUGUUAAGUCAGUUGUGAAAGUUUGCGGCUCAACCGUAAAAUUGCAGUUGAAACUGGCAGUCGUGAGUACAGGAGAGGUGUGCGGAAUUCGUGGUGUAGCGGUGAAACGCUUAGAUAGCACGAAGAACUCCGAUUGCGAAGGCAGUUCACUGGACUGCAACUGACACUGAGGCUCGAAAGUGUGGGUAUCAAACAGGAUUAGAUACCCGGGUAGUC